AAGUCGUAACAAGGUCUCCGUUGGUGAACCAGCGGAAGGAUCAUUAACACUUCGUUAAUACCGUAAAACCAAAUGUGAACUGUACGUCCCUGUUUCACUGUUGCCUCAAUUGAUUUCGGUCGAUUGGAGCUGCCGUGCAGCAGACAAUACCCCAACUAGUAGUUGUUAUCAGCUUCUAGGUAAAAUUCAUUUUUUACUGAUGAAGUUGUUAACAAUGAACUAUUAACCAAUUUAACCCUAUAACUAAAACUUGACUAAUCUUCAUAAACUUAUCAACUGCCUUGGUGGUUAAUAAAUUUUACGAAACAAUGCACAACUCUUAGCAAUGAAUACCUCGGGUCAUAUAACGAUGAAGAACGCAGC
rnacentral:misc_RNA from 1 species